CGCCCGUAGACUCGAUCAGUACGCGAACUUCAUCUACUGGUGAGGAUUAGAUCGAAGCUCACCCUCGAUCACUCCCAAAUGAUCCAAACUCGCGAAGAUGCACAAAAGACCUAGGGCAUUGUGGUUGUCCUUCCUGUCGUUGGCGGAACUCCCUAGGCGAGUACGAACUAAUAAGGCUAAAUGAUUCCAGAAGGGUAGCCUUUUCAAGCAAAUGGAAGAGGCAAGCAUCGGGAAUAGAAGAUGCGCAAGUUUGACGGCUUUAUUAUGUGGUCGUACGGGACUGUUGGUAUUAGUCUCCGGUUAUGCUCUUUUGGGAGCUCUCCUCUUCAAAACAUUGGAAGGUGGCGACGAGGGAAAUCUCCCUUUUCAUAUACAACGUAGCAGAGAAGAUUGCCUAAGAGAACUCUGGUUAA